AUCGAACUUUAUCAAGCUUAAACUUAGUGGCAUCAGUUCUUUCUCAAAAAAAAAAAUUUUUCAAAAAGAAUGCCUUAUUGCUGACGAACACCUUUUGUUCUUCAGCAUGGUAGAAGUAAUAUGCCCUAAACUUCUUAAGGUACCCUACAAAUAACCACUUAUAAAAUCAAGGUCCAAGCUUAUCGAUCUAUAAAUAUUUUAUAUAAACUGAACAACCCCUA
rnacentral:lncRNA from 1 species